CCCCCCCCCCGAUAUCCAGCUCCGUGAAGCCCAAAGGAUGCGGAUGGGGGGAUACGUUACCGGGAACGGUUCAGCCCCUUCCUGGAUGACGAAGCCCUCGAUAACGUGGGUGAGGAUCUGGGGUUUCACGAUGGCCUGGGGCGGUUUGUUCUCACCAUUGUGGGGGGCAGCGCCGGCGACGGUGGAGGCAGAGCUGCCGGUGCCCGAGGUCAUGCCGGGAACGCUGGCCAGGGCCUGGGGCUGAGCAUGAAGGCGGUCGGCGGGCGGCUCUGCGCGGGGGGGACACGGCUGGUUACGGGGGACGCGGUGACGCCGGCGGUGACGCUGGGGCCUCUAUUACCAUACAGCUGGGCUGCUUUGGGGAAGGGGGGGGGGGCGGGAGGGGGAGCAGCUGCUGCCGCUCCCAGUGCGGUCCAGUGGCUCCCAGUAAGCCCCCAUGAGCCCUCUGGUAUCAUGGAAAGCAGUGGGCUGGGGAACCCCCAGGCCCCCCCAAAAGAUCCAGGGGGACCCCGGACAGCCCCCAAAUACCCCGGCAGCCCCCGAGGAGCCCCCAGGGACGCCCAGUGGACCCCCAGUAAAGCCUCAGCACCUCUCAGUACGGCCCCAGUACACCCCAGCAGACCCCAGUACACCCCAGCAGACCCCCAUCUACCCCGGAAAGCCCCCAUACGCGCCCCAGUAAGGCCCAGUACGCCCCAGUAAGGCCCUAUCUACCACUGUAAGGCCUGCUAGACCCCAGUAAGGCCCCACCUCCCCCAGUAAGGUCCAGUAAGGCCUCAACUGCCCCCGCACGGUCCGCUAAGCGCCGGGGAGGCGCCGGCAGGCCUCGCUAGGCCCCGGUAGGCCCCGCCACCUUUGUCCGGCGGCGGAGCCCGCUCCUGCCCGCCCCUACCUGCGCCCGGGCCGCGGCUGCGGAGCCGGGACCGGGGGGGUGCGGGGGGGCGGAUGCGGAAGUGAGGUCAGCGCCCGCCGCCCCGCCGGGCCGAGCCGGGCCGGGCCAGGCCGAGCUGAGCCGGGGCGGCCGCGGCGGGCCUGGGCCGCACUCACCGGCGGCGCUCAGCGGCUCGGCGGCCCCAUGGCGCGGACAAAGGCGGCGCGGGCGGCGGCGGCAGCGGCGGAGCGGGGACAAAGGCGGCGGCGGCGGCGGCGGGGCCGGGCCGGGGCGGCGGCAGCGGCUGCGCGGGGAGGGCGGGGCCUGGCGCUGGGCACGCCCCCUUGCCACGCCGCUAUUGGUUGCCGCCGCGCGCGCGCGCCCACGCCGCCAGGGGGCGGGACAUCGGGGAAAGAGGUGGGGCCUCGCACAAGCCGCGGCCCCCGCGGGGGUGGGCGCCCCCCCCAGCCCCGCGGACACCCGUGUGCGGGGCCCGGCAGGCAGCGCGGACCCUCCCCAGUGUCACCUGUGGGGCGGCGCCACGGGCACGCGUGGGCUCAGGGAACCGCCGCCCCGCACCCACCCGUGGCUCAGCGCUCCCCCGCCGCCCGUCACCAGAGGGGAGGGCAGCUCCCCCCACGAGUGGGUGCCGGGGGGUGGCGGAGGCGGGGCAGCUCCCCCCCACGAGUGGGUGCUCGGGGUGGAGGGGGCAACUUCACCCCACGGGUGGGUGCCAGGAGUCGGGGAGGGGCGUGGGGCUUACCGUGAGUGGGGGGCCGCUCGCCCUCAGGGGUGUCAGGGCCUGGGGGGGCAGCGGGCGGCGAGAGGGCAGGGGGCUGCAGCGGGGCGGCGGGUGGGCUCUCGGCGCUCCUCGGGGUGGGCGGCGGGUCCCUGCGGGCGCCCUCGGGGACCCCAAGUGGGGGCUGUAGGGCAGGGGCACACGCAUGUGCGAGGGUCAGGGCACACACACGUGUGUGGUUGCAAACACACGUGGCUGGAUCCAAUGCACACGUAUGGGCGCAGAUCUGGUGUGAGUGUGCACACGUGUGCAUGGAUCAGAGACACACAUGCACACACACAUGUGCACGUACCCAGCAAACCUGUGCACACAUGUGUGCAUGAUCUGACACACAUGGAUCAAGCACGUGUGCACUGAUCAGGGACAUGCACCCCCCAGGUGCACACAUGCAUGCAUACAUCAUGCAAACAUGCCUGCAUAAGUGCACAGACCAUGCACAUGCAUAUGUGUGCAUAUGCGCAUGUGCACAGAUAGGGCACACACAUGCACACACAGGCAGAUACACAGAUUGAGCACACAUGCAUGGAUCAGACACACAUGCACACGUGCAUGAAUCUAGCCAACUCGCACACAUGCGUGUGCACAGGCCAGACACACAUGCACAUGCACAACCUGGCAUGUGUGUGCACACCCACACGCAUGCAGGCACGCGGCUCAAGCACACGUGCCAGGGUUGGACACCUGCACACCCCACCUCAGCCGCCCGUGUGCAUGCAAACACACAUGUGUGCGCACACAGGUUGGGGCCCCAAGCCCCCCCAUGCACGGCCCCCCCCUCCCAACCCGUGCUGGGGGGCUCAGGGGCACUGGGGGCGACGUCCCUCACCGUGGCACCGGUGGGCUGCAGCUGCAGGAUGACGGCGGAGGCAUGCUGGAACUUGCGGGGGGCAGCGUGACAACCGGGGUGACCGUUGGGGGGGCCACCUUCGCCCCCAGCUCCUUGGGGGACCCCUGCUUUGGGGGGGGGCGCCGGGCCAGGGCUGGCGGGGGGCAGGGGUUGGAGUUGGGGGGCAGUAGGGGGUCCCGGGGGGGGCUGCCCGCGGGGUGCCAGCUGCUGCUGUUGCUGUUGCUGCUGCUGCUGCUGGAUGACGAACUGCUGCUGCGGCUGCAUUGGCUUCGUCGGCUGCUGCAGGAACUGGGGGGGCUGCAGCGGGGUGUAGGCUGCGGGGACAGCGACGGGGGACAGGGACCCCCCCUCGUCACUGGUACCUCAGCCCCAACAGACCCCACCCCCACGAUCCUCCCCCAGGCUGCAAGGCUGCUCUUCACGCUAGCGUCUGUUCACUCUGGUGCCUACUGACAACCAGCUUUGCCAGCUCCCGCUGCUGCUGCACGAGGCGGCUGGGCUCAGGUGGGGGUCACCAUUCUGGAAGCCACCACAGCACCCCCAGGCUCCAUCACCCCAUGGGGCCCCCUAGCCCACACCCUCGCUGCUUCAGCCCCCCGCACCCCCUGCAGGGGCUCACCCCACAGGGCCCCAGGACCCUAUGGGUGCUGUGACCCUCCCAGGCAGGGCCCCUGAGGGAACGUGUGGACCCACAAGAUCCCAAAUACAGGCAGGGUGCCAACGUACAGCAACCACCAGCAAUGGCCAUCAUUAGGUUUCAGAGUGAACACACCGCAGGCUGCUCAGCUGCACCCACUGUGCUCACCCCGCCCCUUCUGAGCACCCGAGGCGGGGGCGACGUGCCCCUGAGGUGGGUAGACGGGGCUGCCAGUCCCAUGUAGGGGCAAGAAAACCAUUAUUAGGUUUCAGAGUGAACACUCUACUCUGUAACUCCCCCAGCACCCACGGGUGCCCCCCACCCCGCCCCCCGCCAAGGCGCAGCACUUACCUGGGGUGACAAGCGGGUGGGCAGUGGUGGGGGCAGCGGCGCGGGCCAGAGGGUGGGUGCGGGCGUCAGGCCCCUCGGCUUUUUUGAGGUGCUCAGCUGGGGGGUCGGGCGGGGGACCCCGAGGGGGGCCAGCCCGGGGUGGGGCACCCCCGGGGGGCUUCAUGGCCAGGGCGGGGAGGUGGGGGCCGGNGGGGGCGCUCACCUGUGGGGCAGCAGGCGGCGGGGCAGGUGGCGGUGCUGGCGGCGGUGCUGGCGCAGGGCUCUCAGGCCGGACGGCGCUUACGGGGCCCGUGGGCGUGAAGAUGAGCUGGGGGGCACGGGCAGUGGGUGUGUGGCCCCCCCGAUACAGGGGGGUGGCACCCUACGUGUCCCCCCGCUCUGUGUCCCUGUAGGGUGGCACCCAUGGGGUGUGGGGCUGCGGGUGGGGUGACACGUGUGUCCCCAGGGACUGCUGGUGCCGGGAGGCGUGCAG
ensembl:lncRNA